rnacentral:rRNA from 1 species
CAGGCCUAACACAUGCAAGUCGAACGGACAGUAGCAAUACUGUUAGUGGCGCACGGGUGCGUAACACGUAACUAACCUGCCCAAGACUGGGGGAUAGCCCGCCGAAAGGCGGAUUAAUACCGCAUAACACUUUUACCCGGCAUCGGGUGAUAGUUAAAUCUACGGAGGUCUUGGAUGGGGUUGCGGGUCAUUAGCUAGUUGGUAAGGUAACGGCUUACCAAGGCGACGAUGACUAGGGGAGCUGAGAGGCUGGUCCCCCACACGGGCACUGAGAUACGGGCCCGACUCCUACGGGAGGCAGCAGUAGGGAAUAUUGGGCAAUGGGCGAGAGCCUGACCCAGCCAUGCCGCGUGCAGGAAGAAGGCUUUCUGAGUCGUAAACUGCUUUUGAUAGGGAAGAAUAACCUGGUCGUGACCAGNGAUGACGGUACCUACAGAAUAAGCACCGGCUAACUCCGUGCCAGCAGCCGCGGUAAU